UACGUAGGUGGCUAGCGUUGUCCGGAUUUACUGGGCGUAAAGAGCGCGCAGGCGGUCGGAUAAGUCGAAUGUGAAAGCCCCCGGCUCAACUGGGGAGGGUCAUUCGAUACUGUUCGACUCGAAGGCAGGAGAGGGAAGUGGAAUUCCCGGUGUAGUGGUGAAAUGCGUAGAUAUCGGGAGGAACACCAGUGGCGAAGGCGACUUCCUGGCCUGUUCUUGACGCUGAGGCGCGAAAGCUAGGGGAGCAAACGGG
rnacentral:rRNA from 1 species